GGCGAACUGGCCCGUGGUGGUGGGCAGCUGGUUCUGGCCCGUGUCCGACGGGUUGCCGGGCGCGGGGAACCGGUUCUGUCCGGUGUCCGACGC
rnacentral:tRNA from 1 species